rnacentral:lncRNA from 1 species
AUGGGGAAGAUGAGAUGUCAGAAGAUAAGGACAAUGGCAGUAGAGAUGAGGAAGGGAGCCACAUGGACCAAGCUGCCAAAAGAUAGGAGGAGUGCCAAGCUAGACAACCGUGAAAAGAGAACUGAGAACUCUGAGGAGGAUGAAGAUUCUGAAAAAGAAGCCUUGUAUUCUACGUGGGCCAAAGGGAGAAGAGCCCUUCCUGUAGGGGUGGAGGAAGAUGAGCAGGACGAUGACAAUGACGAUGACGAGGACAAAGGCUGUGAGGAAGAGGAGGAGGAAGAACCUAUGAAAAAAAAACACCUGAUAAAUGGAAGAUGGAAAUGGCCAAACAGAAGGCUCCCCCUGACACCGCAAAACAGAAAUUAGAAGAUUUGGUUAUGUGAAUUUUAAAUCUGCUGACGACCAGGAAAAAGCCUUGGAACUUAGAGAUACAAAGGUCCUUGGGUAUGAAAUGAAAUUGAAGAAACCAAAGGAAAAGGAAAGAAAGAAAGGUAUGCAAACAAGGUAAUUUGUUCGUAGAUACCUCUGUAUCUAGAAGGCUCUGGGUCAGGCGGGAAUUCGUAUCAUAUUGUUUUUUAUCCAAAAGGGUAGAUACUCCUCACUGACCAACAGGUCACCUGCUUCUACAGCACAGACUUUAUCUGCCUGUCCUUCUCCGUCCCAGGGUUCUCUCCAGGACUCAUUCCCUGGCUACUUGUGUCCCAUCCAUGGAGUCUCAGCUUACAGGUCACUUCCUCGGAUCAGGAGAAUCUUCCUUUACCCCCAGACUGGGGUAAGUCUUCUCUAUGACGUGUUCUCAUUUCCCCUUUUACUUUUCCUUCCUGGCACUUCCGCAGUUUGUAAUUAGGUGACUGUUUACUCUCCUUUUCCCCCAACAACACCACCUUCCUGAGAGCAGAGGCCAGGUCUCUGUUUUCACAGCCAGCGUGUAGCACAGGUCCUCACCCAGAGUAUGUGUUCAAAUAUUUGCUAAAUGAAAGAAUACGUAUUGUUGUUUCAGUCUCCAGCUCUUUGAGAAGUAUUUUUUCUCUCUUAGAAAACUCUGGAUCCUUAUGAGAUCUAAACUCAGACUAACAAUAUUCUUUUGUGUUUAUGCAGAUCGAGAUGCCAGAACGCUUCUGAUCAAGAACCUGCCUGACAAAGUCACUCAGCAUGAAUUAAAAGAAGCUUUUGAGGAUGCUUUUCAAAUCAGAUUGGUGAGCAAGGAUGGCAUGAGGGAAAGGUAUGUUUUGUACCUUGUACUGAAAAAAAAUACACGUCUACUGGAUUUAAACAUAACAGAAUUCCAUUACAUUC